UACGUAGGGUGCAAGCGUUAAUCGGAAUUACUGGGCGUAAAGCGUGCGCAGGCGGUUUUGUAAGACUGUCGUGAAAUCCCCGGGCUUAACCUGGGAAUGGCGAUGGUGACUGCAAGGCUAGAGUUUGGCAGAGGGGGGUAGAAUUCUCGGAGUAGCGGUAAAAUGCGUAGAUCUCGAGAGGAACACCGAAGGCGAAGGCAGCCCCUUGGCUCGUAAUUGACGCUGGAGCGCGAAAGCGUGGGGAGCAAACAGG
rnacentral:rRNA from 1 species